ensembl:ncRNA C07E3.14 ncRNA
UUUACUCAUAAUGAUCAAAUGUUUUGAUAAAACACUUCAAAUAAACAUUUCGAUCUUCUUUUUCAUUAAAAGUUUUGAAAAAUUACCAAAAUUUCCAAAACUUUCGUUUGGAAAUUUGGACAGACCUCAAAAUGGUGUUAAUUAACAC